rnacentral:rRNA from 1 species
UUGGUCAUUUAGAGGAAGUAAAAGUCGUAACAAGGUUUCCGUAGGUGAACCUGCGGAAGGAUCAUUACCAAUUUCAAAGUGUGUAUCGCGUUACCUCGGCGUCUGCAAUUGCUAGGCGUUAGAGAGUUGCGGUCGGAUAGCACUUGAAAACCCCCACCCUUGUCUAUUUAACCUUUGUUGCCUCGGCGGGUUCGCCCGCCAGAGGCCCCUUCUAAACUCUUGUUGUAAACGACGUUUGUCUGAGCUACAAAGCAAUUGUUUAAAACUUUCAACAACGGAUCUCUUGGUUCUGGCAUCGAUGAGGAACGCAGCGAAAUGCGAUAAGUAGUGUGAAUUGCAGAAUUCAGUGAAUCAUCGAAUCUUUGAACGCACAUUGCGCCCUUUGGCAUCCCGAAGGGCAUGCCUGUUCGAGCGUCAUUAUCACCAUUCAAGCCUGGCUUGGUAUUGGGUGCCGUCCUGCCCUCUGCGGCGCGGACGCUCCCUAAAACUAUCGGCGGUGCAGCACCGGCUUCGAGCGUAGCAGACCUUCGCUUUCGGGGACCCGGUGAGGCAGCGGCCGCGACGCACAACCUUUGGUUGACCUCGGAUCAGGUAGGGAUACCCGCUGAACUUAAGCAUAUCAAUAAG